AGAGUGCUAGCUAAAUUUGGUGAUAGCCCGCGCCUUAUAAGCACGAGGCCCUAACAAGGUAUAUCCCGGUUCGAAUCCGGGGCACUCUA
rnacentral:tRNA from 1 species